GUCCGGACAGCAGGAGCUUGAAGCAGCUGGCCACAUUGUAGCAGUUAGAAGAGAGCCACAAAGACAUCUGACACCAGAACCCAGCUUCUUGGGUGAAACGAAGGACCAAAGUUCUCCAGGAGUCCUCCAGACCAUCACUGCAAUCCAGAAGCUGGGUGUCAAGACAGACCAUCGAUCAUCAUCACUACUACCACCACAAUCUCCAUUACUACCAUAGCACCAUUAUUACUCUUACCAUCAUCAUCAACACCAUCACUAUCAUCAUCACCACCAGCAGCAGCAGCAUCCUCAAACAUCAUCACCAUCACCAUAUUGUGUCCCAUAAACAAGCAUGCAAUUAAUACCAUGAGUUUCAACUCAGAAGUACUAAAUGGAAAAAUACUGGAGGAGCAUCAGACACAUGGUGGGCAAAAGAAGCUCAACGGUGUGCUACAGGGAAAUGGAAAGAACUGACAGUAGAGAACGAUGAACA